UUCCGAUCUCCUGCCAGUAGUUAUAUGCUUGUCUCAAAGGUUAAGCCAUGCAUGUCUCAGUAUGAGUGCUUCUACAGCGAAACUGCGAAUGGCUCAUUAAAUCAGUUACGGUUUAUUUGAUGACUUGUGACACGGAUAACUGGGGAAAUUCUUCAGCCAAUACGUGCUUCUAAGCCGACUUUGUGGAAGGUGAGUAUUUGCUCGAUUCUGAACCAACCCAGAUCUUCUGGGCUUUAAGUUGAGCGGAGAGUAAAUCUGUCCAAUCGCAUUGCACCGCGAUGCGAUGCAUCAUUCAAGUUUCUGACCUAUCAGCUUCCGAUUGUAGGGUAUUGGCUUACCAUGGCGAUGACGGGUAACAGCGAAUUUGGGUUCAGUUCUGGAGAGGGAGCCUGAGAAACGGCUACCACAUCUAAGGAAGGCAGCAGGCGCGUAAAUUGCCCGAAUCCUGACACAGGGAGGUAGUGACAAGAAAUAACAAUACAGGGCUAUUUUAGUCUUGUAAUUGGAAUGAGUACAAUUUACAUCUCUUCACGAGGAUCAAUUGGAGGGCAAGUCUGGUGCCAGCAGCCGCGGUAACUCCAGCUCCAAUAGCGUAUAUUGAAGUUGUUGCGGUUAAAAAGCUCGUCGUUGGAUUUCUGUUGAGGUCGAACAGUGCCGCCCUAUGGGUGCGCAACUGGCUCGGCUUCGGCAUCUUCUUGGAGAGCGCAUCUGCACUUAACUGUGUGGAUCGUACUUCAAGUCAGUUACUUUGAGGAAUUGUGAGUGUUUCAAGCAGGCUUACGCCGUUGAAUCCGUUAGCAUGGAAUAAUAGAAUAGGACCUCGGUUCUAUUUUGUUGGUUUUGAGAGCUGGGGCAGCGAUUGAUAGGGACGGAUGGGGGCGUCCGAACUUUACUGUCAGAGGUGAAAUUCUUAGAUCGGUCAAAGGCGAACUACUGCGAACGCAUUCGCCAAGAAUGUUUUCUUUAAUCAAGAACGAAAGUUAGGGGAUCGAAGACGAUCAGAUACCGUCCUAGUCUUAACCAUAAACCAUGCCGACUAGAGAUUGGAGGUCGUUAUCUUUACGACUCCUUCAGCACCUUAUGAGAAAUCAAAGUCUUUGGGUUCCGGGGGGAGUAUGGUCGCAAGGCUGAAACUUAAAGGAAUUGACGGAAGGGCACCACCAGGAGUGGAGCCUGCGGCUUAA
rnacentral:rRNA from 1 species